rnacentral:rRNA from 1 species
AUUGAACGCUGGCGGCAUGCCUUACACAUGCAAGUCGAACGGCAGCACGGGAGCAAUCCUGGUGGCGAGUGGCGAACGGGUGAGUAAUGUAUCGGAACGUACCUUUCAGUGGGGGAUAACGUAGCGAAAGUUACGCUAAUACCGCAUAUUCUGUGAGCAGGAAAGCAGGGGAUCGCAAGACCUUGCGCUGAUUGAGCGGCCGAUAUCAGAUUAGCUAGUUGGUGAGGUAAAGGCUCACCAAGGCGACGAUCUGUAGCGGGUCUGAGAGGAUGAUCCGCCACACUGGAACUGAGACACGGUCCAGACUCCUACGGGAGGCAGCAGUGGGGAAUUUUGGACAAUGGGCGCAAGCCUGAUCAGCCAUGCGCGUGAGUGAAGAAGGCC